CAGCCGCCGCGGUAACACGGAGGGUGCAAGCGUUAAUCGGAAUUACUGGGCGUAAGGCGUGCGUAGGCGGUUCGUUAAGUCUGUUGUGAAAGCCCCGGGCUCAACCUGGGAAUGGCAAUGGAUACUGGCGAGCUAGAGUGUGUCAGAGGAUGGUGGAAUUCCCGGUGUAGCGGUGAAAUGCGUAGAGAUCGGGAGGAACAUCAGUGGCGAAGGCGGCCAUCUGGGACAACACUGACGCUGAGGCACGAAAGCGUGGGGAGCAAACAGGAUUAGAUACCCCUGUAGUCCCUGUCUCUUAUAC
rnacentral:rRNA from 1 species